rnacentral:rRNA from 1 species
AACGAACGCUGGCGGCAUGCCUAACACAUGCAAGUCGAACGAGACCUUCGGGUCUAGUGGCGCACGGGGGCGUAACGCGUGGGAACCUGCCCUUAGGUUCGGAAUACCUCCCCGAGAGGGGUGCUAAUACCGGAUAAUGUCUUCGGACCAAAGAUUUCUCGCCUUUGGAUGGGCCCGCGUUGGAUUAGCUAGUUGGUAGGGUAAAAGCCUACCAAGGCGACGAUCCAUAGCUGGUGUGAGAGGAUGAUCAGCCACACUGGGACUGAGACACGGCCCAGACUCCUACGGGAGGCAGCAGUGGGGAAUAUUGGACAAUGGGCGAAAGCCUGAUCCAGCAAUGCCGCGUGAGUGAUGAAGGCCUUAGGGUUGUAAAGCUCUUUUACCCGGGAUGAUAAUGACAGUACCGGGAGAAUAAGCUCCGGCUAACUCCGUG